rnacentral:rRNA from 1 species
CCAAGGAAGGCAGCAGGCGCGCAAAUUACCCACUCCCAGAACGGGGAGGUAGUGACGAAAAAUAACAAUACGGGACUCUUUUGAGACCCCGUAAUUGGAAUGAGUACACUCUAACUCCUUUAACGAGGAUCCAUUGGAGAGCAAGUCUGGUGCCAGCAGUCGCGGUAAUUCCAGCUCCAAUAGCGUAUAUUAAAGUUGUUGCGGUUAAAAAGCUCGUAGUUGGAUCUCAGCUCCGGCCGGACGGUCCGCCUACCGGUGGUUACUGUUCGCAGCCGAGCGUUCAGGCGGUUAUUCUUGAUGAUCUUCACCGGUUGUCUCGGGUGACCGCCAAGUUUACUUUGAAAAAAUUAGAGUGCUCAACGCAGGCGUGACGCCUGAAUAAUUGUGCAUGGAAUAAUGGAAUAGGACCUCGGUUCUAUUUUGUUGGUUUUCGGAACACGAGGUAAUGAUUAAGAGGGACAGACGGGGGCAUUCGUAUUGCGACGCUAGAGGUGAAAUUCUUGGACCGUCGCAAGACGAACUACUGCGAAAGCAUUUGCCAAGAAUGUUUCCGUUAAUCAAGAACGAAAGUUAGAGGUUCGAAGGCGAUCAGAUACCGCCCUAGUUCUAACCAUAAACGAUGCCAGCCAGCGAUCCGGCUGUGUUCCUCAAAUGACACGCCGGGCAGCUUCCGGGAAACCAAAGCCUUUGGGUUCCGGGGGAAGUAUGGUUGCA